GGGAUGCUCCGAAUUGGCCAAGGGGCCGGUCUCGAAAACCGGUGGGCCGCGAGGCCCGUGUGGGUUCGAGUCCCACUCCCUCCGCCA
rnacentral:tRNA from 1 species